rnacentral:rRNA from 1 species
CUUUCCCUCUGGCGGCAGGCCUAACACAUGCAAGUCGAGCGGAUGAAGGGAGCUUGCUCCUGGAUUCAGCGGCGGACGGGUGAGUAAUGCCUAGGAAUCUGCCUGGUAGUGGGGGAUAACGUCCGGAAACGGGCGCUAAUACCGCAUACGUCCUGAGGGAGAAAGUGGGGGAUCUUCGGACCUCACGCUAUCAGAUGAGCCUAGGUCGGAUUAGCUAGUUGGUGGGGUAAAGGCCUACCAAGGCGACGAUCCGUAACUGGUCUGAGAGGAUGAUCAGUCACACUGGAGCUGAGACACGGUCCAGACUCCUACGGGAGGCAGCAGUGGGGAAUAUUGGACAAUGGGCGAAAGCCUGAUCCAGCCAUGCCGCGUGUGUGAAGAAGGUCUUCGGAUUGUAAAGCACUUUAAGUUGGGAGGAAGGGCAGUAAGUUAAUACCUUGCUGUUUUGACGUUACCAACAGAAUAAGCACCGGCUAACUUCGUG